GAUGAACGCUGGCGGCGUGCCUAAUACAUGCCAGUCGAGCGAACAGACGAGGAGCCUGCUCCUCUGACGUUAGCGGCGGACGGGUGAGUAACACGUGGAUAACCUACCUAUAAGACUGGGAUAACUUCGGGAAACCGGAGCUAAUACCGGAUAAUAUAUUGAACCGCAUGGUUCAAUAGUGAAAGACGGUUUUGCUGUCACUUAUAGAUGGAUCCGCGCCGCAUUAGCUAGUUGGUAAGGUAACGGCUUACCAAGGCAACGAUGCGUAGCCGACCUGAGAGGGUGAUCGGCCACACUGGAACUGAGACACGGUCCAGACUCCUACGGGAGGCAGCAGUAGGGAAUCUUCCGCAAUGGGCGAAAGCUUGACGGAGCAACGCCGCGUGAGUGAUGAAGGUCUUCGGAUCGUAAAACUCUGUUAUUAGGGAAGAACAAAUGUGUAAGUAACUAUGCACGUCUUGACGGUACCUAAUCAGAAAGCCACGGCUAACUACGUG
rnacentral:rRNA from 1 species